AGCGAACGCUGGCGGCAGGCCUAACACAUGCAAGUCGAACGAAGUCUUCGGACUUAGUGGCGGACGGGUGAGUAACACGUGGGAACGUGCCUUUAGGUUCGGAAUAACUCAGGGAAACUUGUGCUAAUACCGAAUGUGCCCUUCGGGGGAAAGAUUUAUCGCCUUUAGAGCGGCCCGCGUCUGAUUAGCUAGUUGGUGAGGUAAAGGCUCACCAAGGCUACGAUCAGUAGCUGGUCUGAGAGGAUGACCAGCCACAUUGGGACUGAGACACGGCCCAAACUCCUACGGGAGGCAGCAGUGGGGAAUCUUGCGCAAUGGGCGAAAGCCUGACGCAGCCAUGCCGCGUGGAUGAUGAAGGUUUUAGGAUUGUAAAAUUCUUUCACCGGGGACGAUAAUGACGGUACCCGGAGAAGAAGCCCCGGCUAACUUCGUGCCAGCCGCCGCCGUAACAC
rnacentral:rRNA from 1 species